rnacentral:rRNA from 1 species
GUGGGGAAUAUUGGACAAUGGGGGGAACCCUGAUCCAGCCAUGCCGCGUGUGUGAAGAAGGCCUUUUGGAUGUAAAGCACUUUAAGCGAGGAGGAGGCUACCGAGGUUAAUACUCUUGGAUAGUGGACGUUACUCGCAGAAUAAGCACCGGCUAACUCUGUGCCAGCAGCCGCGGUAAUACAGAGGGUGCAAGCGUUAAUCGGAUUUACUGGGCGUAAAGCGCGCGUAGGUGGCCAAUUAAGUCAAAUGUGAAAUCCCCGAGCUUAACUUGGGAAUUGCAUUCGAUACUGGUUGGCUAGAGUAUGGGAGAGGAUGGUAGAAUUCCAGGUGUAGCGGUGAAAUGCGUAGAGAUCUGGAGGAAUACCGAUGGCGAAGGCAGCCAUCUGGCCUAAUACUGACACUGAGGUGCGAAAGCAUGGGGAGCAAACAGGAUUAGAUACCCGUGUAGUCC